CCCUUAGAUGUUCUGGGCCGCACGCGUGCUACACUGAGUGGAUCAGCGGGUCAGGUUACGCGAGAGCGUUUCCUAAUCUUCAAAUCCGCUCGUGAUGGGGAUUGACGGUUGCAAUUUUCCGUCAUGAACGAGGAAUACCUUGUAAGCGCGGGUCAUCAUCCCGCGCUGAAUACGUCCCUGCCCUUUGUACACACCGCCCGUCGCUCCUACCGAUUGAGUGGUCCGGUGAGGCUUUGGGAUCUAAGCGAAAAGAGCGUUUCGCCCCUUUUGCUGGGAGAACUCAGUCGAACCUUAUCAUUUAGAGGAAGGAGAAGUCGUAACA
rnacentral:rRNA from 1 species